rnacentral:rRNA from 1 species
UACAGAGGUCCCAAGCGUUGUUCGGAUUCACUGGGCGUAAAGGGUGCGUAGGUGGUGAGGUAAGUCGGAUGUGAAAUCUCCGAGCUCAACUCGGAAAUGGGCAUUGGAAACUACCUUGCUCGAGGGUUGGAGGGGGGGACUGGAAUGCUUGGUGUAGCAGUGAAAUGGCGUAGAUAUCAAGCGGAACACCAGUGGCGAAGGCGAGUCCCUGGACAACUCCUGACACUGAGGCACGAAAGCUAGGGGAGCAAACAGG